rnacentral:rRNA from 1 species
CUACGGGUGGCAGCAGUGGGGAAUAUUGGACAAUGGGGGAAACCCUGAUCCAGCAAUGCCGCGUGUGUGAAGAAGGCCUGCGGGUUGUAAAGCACUUUCGGUUGGGAGGACUGCUUCUAGCACUAAUAUUGUUGGAAGUUGACGUUACCUUCAGAAGAAGCACCGGAUAACUCCGUGCCAGCAGCCGCGGUAAUAGCGGAGGGUGCAAGCGUUAAUCGGAAUUACUGGGCGUAAAGCGCGCGUAGGCGGCUAGGUCAGUCGGGUGUGAAAGCCCCGGGCUUAACCUGGGAACUGCAUCCGAUACUGUCUAGCUUGAGUACAGGAGAGGAGAGUGGAAUUCCACAUGUAGCGGUGAAAUGCGUAGAUAUGUGGAGGAACACCAAUGGCGAAGGCAGCUCUCUGGCCUGAUACUGACGCUGAGGUGCGAAAGCGUGGGGAGCAAACAGGAUUAGAUACCCCCGUAGUC